rnacentral:rRNA from 1 species
AGGGUUUGAUCAUGGCUCAGAUUGAACGCUGGCGGCAGGCCUAACACAUGCAAGUCGAGCGCCCCGCAAGGGGAGCGGCGGACGGGUGAGUAACGCGUGGGAACGUACCCCUUUCUACGGAAUAGCCUCGGGAAACUGGGAGUAAUACCGUAUAAGCCCUACGGGGGAAAGAUUUAUCGGGAAGGGAUCGGCCCGCGUUGGAUUAGGUAGUUGGUGGGGUAAUGGCCUACCAAGCCGACGAUCCAUAGCUGGUUUGAGAGGAUGAUCAGCCACACUGGGACUGAGACACGGCCCAGACUCCUACGGGAGGCAGCAGUGGGGAAUCUUAGACAAUGGGCGCAAGCCUGAUCUAGCCAUGCCGCGUGAGCGAUGAAGGCCUUAGGGUUGUAAAGCUCUUUCAGUGGGGAAGAUAAUGACUGUACCCACAGAAGAAGCCCCGGCCAACUCCGUGCCAGCAGCCGCGGUAAUACGGAGGGGGCUAGCGUUGUUCGGAAUUACUGGGCGUAAAGCGCACGUAGGCGGACCGGAAAGUCAGAGGUGAAAUCCCAGGGCUCA